rnacentral:rRNA from 1 species
AACGGCCAUACCAUGCUGAAUUUACCGGUUCUCGUUAGAUCACCGAAGUCAAGCAUCAUUGGGCGCGGUCAGUACUUGGGUGGGUGACCACCUGGGAACACCGCGUGCCGUU